rnacentral:rRNA from 1 species
GAUGAACGCUAGCUACAGGCUUAACACAUGCAAGUCGCGGGGCAGCAUGGGGGUUGCUUGCCAUCCCCGAUGGCGACCGGCGCACGGGUGAGCAACGCGUAUUCAACCUGCCCUUCACCACGGGAUAACCCGGCGAAAGUCGGACUAAUACCGUAUGUUGUCCAUUGACGGCAUCCGAUUUGGACGAAAGGCUUGGCGGUGAGGGAUGGGGAUGCGUCCGAUUAGCCAGACGGCGGGGUAACGGCCCACCGUGGCUACGAUCGGUAGGGGUUCUGAGAGGAAGGUCCCCCACACUGGAACUGAGACACGGUCCAGACUCCUACGGGAGGCAGCAGUGAGGAAUAUUGGUCAAUGGGCGUAAGCCUGAACCAGCCAAGUAGCGUGCAGGAUGACGGCCCUAUGGGUUGUAAACUGCUUUUAUGCGGGGAUAAAGUGGCCCACGUGUGGGCUUUUGCAGGUACCGCAUGAAUAAGGACCGGCUAAUUCCGUG